AUCAGUCAGUCAUGACACAGACAUGACAUUACAUUUCACGUCGUUACUUUCAUAAGUUACUUAAAUAGUUUAACAACAGAGAUUGGAUAACAAGUUAACUGUUUUUACAUAAUUUCAGCCGAAGUUUUCAUGUACCUGGCCAACUAGGUGCUCAUGACAUUAGAAAUGAAAUGGUCUAAUCUAAUAAUGCAAGCUCACAACCUGUCUUCUGAAGCAAAAUAAUUUUUGUUGCAAGUUGUAGAUCUUCAAGAUAUUUAUGCCUUCGCCAGAUCCAAUUCUUUGCUGCUAUCUAUUUUGGGUACAACAGCGAGAAAAUGCUGCUACUCAAGAUUAUGUGGUGUUCUUAGUUCUAAUUUAGGACAAUGUAAGAUUGAUUGAUUUGAGGUUAAUCCCUCUCCACUGUUCUGCCAGGAGGAGGGGAGGGCUCUGGUCGAACGGGGACUUGGAAGUCCCCUGAUCUGAUGAAAACUUUUGGAUGGUCAUGAGUCUAACCCGGAAGCCUAGUAUGACUAUAUCUCUCCAGUAAAACUGGCCUCGUACUUCUCUCUUCUUCUCGGACCAGAUACUAUCUCUGGUGGCCGUCGACAAUUCCAACUGCAUGUGCGAGUUUUAACAAAGCAAUGCGCAGCCCAGAGACAAAAAGCGAUGUUUAAUUUUUGUCGAAUUAGAAAUUUUUUAAAAAAUUAGUUCUGGAAUAAGUAUAAUUUUUAACGUAUAAUUGACAAAGAUUUCAGCAAAAAUAAAAUAUUGCUUUUUGUGUCGUUGUGUACUCUUGCUCAAAAUCGCACAAAAAAGACAAUCGAUUUGAA